rnacentral:rRNA from 1 species
AACGAACGCUGGCGGCAUGCCUAACACAUGCAAGUCGAACGAGACCUUCGGGUCGAGUGGCGCACGGGUGCGUAACGCGUGGGAACCUGCCCUUAGGUUCGGAAUAACUCCCCGAAAGGGGUGCUAAUACCGGAUAAUGUCUUCGGACCAAAGAUUUAUCGCCUUUGGAUGGGCCCGCGUUGGAUUAGCUAGUUGGUAGGGUAAAAGCCUACCAAGGCGACGAUCCAUAGCGGGUCUGAGAGGAUGAUCAGCGACACUGGGACUGAGACACGGCCCAGACUCCUACGGGAGGCAGCAGUGGGGAAUAUUGGACAAUGGGCGAAAGCCUGAUCCAGCAAUGCCGCGUGAGUGAUGAAGGCCUUAGGGUCGUAAAGCUCUUUUACCCGGGAUGAUAAUGACAGUACCGGGAGAAUAAGCUCCGGCUAACUCCGUG